rnacentral:rRNA from 1 species
GAUGAACGCUGGCGGCGUGCCUAAUACAUGCAAGUCGAGCGAACAGACGAGGAGCUUGCUCCUCUGACGUUAGCGGCGGACGGGUGAGUAACACGUGGAUAACCUACCUAUAAGACUGGGAUAACUUCGGGAAACCGGAGCUAAUACCGGAUAAUAUAUUGAACCGCAUGGUUCAAUAGUGAAAGACGGUUUUGCUGUCACUUAUAGAUGGAUCCGCGCCGCAUUAGCUAGUUGGUAAGGUAACGGCUUACCAAGGCGACGAUGCGUAGCCGACCUGAGAGGGUGAUCGGCCACACUGGAACUGAGACACGGUCCAGACUCCUACGGGAGGCAGCAGUAGGGAAUCUUCCGCAAAGGGCGAAAGCCUGACGGAGCAACGCCGCGUGAGUGAUGAAGGUCUUCGGAUCGUAAAACUCUGUUAUUAGGGAAGAACAAAUGUGUAAGUAACUAUGCACGUCUUGACGGUACUCAAUCAGAAAGCCACGGCUAACUACGUG